CCUACGGGAGGCAGCAGUGGGGGAUAUUGCACAAUGGGGGAAACCCUGAUGCAGCGACGCCGCGUGUGGGAAGACGGUCCUAUGGAUUGUAAACCACUGUCCCCAGGGACGAAGCUGACGGUACCUGGGGAGGAAGCUCCGGCGAACCACGUGCCAGCAGACGCGGUAAUACGUAGGGAGCGAGCGUUGUCCGGAAUUACGGGGUGUAAAGGGAGCGUAGGCGGGGAUGCAAGUUGGGUGUCAAAACUACCGGCUCAACUGGUAGUCGCACUCAAAACUGCAGCUCUUGAGUGAAGUAGAGGCAGGCGGAAUUCCUAGUGUAGCGGUGAAAUGCGUAGAUAUUAGGAAGAACACCAGUGGCGAAGGCAGCCUGCUGGGCUUUUACUGACGCUGAGGCUCGAAAGUGUGGGGAGCAAACAGGAUUAGAUACCCCGGUAGUC
rnacentral:rRNA from 1 species